rnacentral:rRNA from 1 species
GACGAACGCUGGCGGCGCGCUUAACACAUGCAAGUCGAACGGAAAGGCCUGCUUUCCCUUGUGGAUUGCGGGUACUCGAGUGGCGAACGGGUGAGUAACACGUGAGUGAUCUGCCCCCAACUUGGGUAUAAGCCUGGGAAACUGGGUCUAAUUCCCGAUAGGACUGCAGGGUGGUGCCUGUGGUGGAAAACGAUUUUCUAGUGGUUGGGGAUGAGCUCGCGGCCUAUCAGCUUGUUGGUGGGGUAAUGGCCUACCAAGGCGGCGACGGGUAGCCGGCCUGAGAGGGUGGACGGCCACAUUGGGACUGAGAUACGGCCCAGACUCCUACGGGAGGCAGCAGUGGGGAAUAUUGCACGAUGGGCGGAAGCCUGAUGCAGCGACGCCGCGUGGGGGAUGACGGCCUUCGGGUGGUAAACUCCUUUCGACCGCGAGGAAGCCGCCUGGUUGGAAGGGUGGUGACGGUAGUGGUAGAAGAAGCACCGGCUAACUACGUG